ensembl:lncRNA
CCAGAAGCUGACAGUGCUGCUGCUGCUGCUGCUAAGUCGCUUCAGUCGUGUCCAACUCUGUGCGACCCCAUAGACUCCAGCCCACCAGGCUCCUCUGUCCACGGGAUUCUCUAGGCAAGAACACUGAAGAGACAUCAGCUUGAUCCCUGGUCUGGGAAGAUGCCACAUGCCGCAGAGCAAGGAAACCUGAGUGCCUAAACGACUGAGUCCAUGUGCACAACUACGGAUGCGCAUGCGCCGUGGAGGCCGAGCUCUACAGCAAGCCUCUGCAAUGAGAAGCCCGCCACCACCAGCAGAGGAGGCCCGCGUGCAGCCAAAAAUAAAAUAAACGAACACUUUCUCAAAGUGGAUAGGAAUGAGACAAGGUAUCGGGAUGAUGACUCUAGACAAAGCCAUCUGAUUUGCCCACUUCUCAGGGGCUGAACCUAAGCUUUGCUGGAGAAUCAGAGCACGUGAAGAAGAUACAGUUAUCCAAGACUCACAUUCACUACGGGAAGAUCAGAUUGUGCCCUCGUGGGCAGGUGCUGGGGAGAAUCCAUUAUGCACUGGUCAGCUUCUACCCUUGCAGGGACGUCUGUUGUUCUGCGAUCCCGGCAGCUGACGCCUCUUAUGGAAACAGAACCCUCGCCUCCUCCGGGAUCGGCCACUGUCUUGCACCGCAUACUUCCUUCUGCCUUAAGCACAGGUCUGCUCCCCUCACAGCACAGGUAUAGACGAUGCCGCACCAGCGGGAGGAUGUCCGCUUCUGACAGUGACAUGGGAAACCGGGAGGAGCAGAGGGUUAAAAGUGUUGAUAACGGAAUGCUGUUUUUUAAUCGAAGUGUAGUUGACUUGCGAUAUUGUGCUGUUUCAGGUGUACAACAAAACGAUUCAGUUACAAAUAUUUUUUUCAGAUUAUUUUCCAUUAUAGAUUAUUACAAGGCAUUGAAUAUAAGUCCCUGUGCUAUACAGCAAAGCCAUGUCACUCGUCCAUUUUAUGUAUAGUAAUG